UAGGUUCCUUAUGGUGUCUUUGCAACUUGCAAGGUCUUGCAAAAAAAGGUGCUGAUUAUUCAUACAAAUAAUCUGACAUCUUUAGUUCCAAAGUCCUGCAGCCUCCUGAGUCUCAUAACUCUAAAGGUUCUGGAUCUGCAUGACAACCAGCUGGCAUCACUUCCUGCUGAUAUUGGUCAGCUGGCAGCUCUUCAGGUAAAAGAUUUGCAGCUGCAUCCCAGGUGUCUGUACAGGACAUGUUUGGGGACAGCAGGGAUUUGGGGUUACACUCUUUGGUUUACAGUUAAUCACAGCUUCUGUGGUGAUGCCAUUUCAUCAGAUCCAUAACAUCACCCUGACUGUUGCU